rnacentral:rRNA from 1 species
AUGACCCAACUUUAUACUGCUUUAGUACAAAAUUGGAUCAUUUAUUUUAAAACGGAGGGAGUACUUUUUACACGAUUGCCCCAAGAAUAUAUGGGGUUAUUGCUAAUUUUUUUAAUUUUUUUCUUUACAAUGUACAAUGUUUAUAGGCUAUUUUCUUUAAAGUUGUGGGGUCUUCUGACCCCACAGCCAACACAUAGAAUCGUCGCGGUCACUAAGGGACGGCGCCGACGUGUCCGGAACGGUCGGCGGCGACGCGGUCGGAUCUUGGCCCAGGCAUCAGCCUUGGUCCCUGGAUUGCGGUCGGCGCAGUGGCGGGUGGGACACGUCGGCAGCUGGGCGGAUCCGCCGGGAUUCUACCCUUGUCUGGUCAAUGAUAGCGCAGGCAACUCCGGGGGAAACCCUAGAUCUCCUUGGCAUCGAGCGAUGGCGGUGAUUUUGCAUUGUACUCCCUCUCCAUGCAUUGUUUUGGAGUUUGCUUCGGUUGAAGGGACCAACGUCGCCAGCAGCGCAUGCCUGGUGGCGCAACUGCCGAUGAAAAUCGCGUCGACUACGGUCAUGGCGGACGAUGGCAGCAUCUUAGAUGUUGUUCCCUUGUUGAGGCAUGCAUCGACGUUGCAGUUUGCAUCAUCAGGCUCAAGAUGCUCCGGGGCAAACCCUAGAUCUGGGUCUCCCGGAUCGGACGAUAAUGGUGUUCGCAGUAUCGCUUUCCCUCCUGGGGGCAUCGUUUUGGAGCAAGUGAUGGCUGGAGGGGACAAGAGGAGGAGCGGUGUUGCAUCUACCGCAAGGCCAAUGGUGGAUCACGGCGGCAUGGCGCUGCGGAGUCUCGGCGACGGGCGCUUGUGGAUGGACACGUGCAGGAUGGUGACGCUUUCUGACGCUGUGGUGACGUCGACGGCAGGCCUGGCAAGGUUGGUGCGUCAGUAUCUGCUCUGGAGAUGGAUCAGUGGUUGA